rnacentral:rRNA from 1 species
GAUGAACGCUGGCGGCGUGCCUAAUACAUGCAAGUCGAACGGAAAGGCCCUGCUUUUGUGGGGUGCUCGAGUGGCGAACGGGUGAGUAACACGCGAGUAACCUGUCCUUGUCUUUGGGAUAACUCUAGGAAACUGGGGCUCAUAUCGGAUAGGAGCUAUUGCUGCACGGUGGGGGUUGGAAAGUUUCGGCGGUUGGGGCUGGACUCGCGGCUUAUCAGCUUGAUGGUGGGGUUGUGGCUUGCCAAGGCUUCGACGGGUAGCCGGCCUGUGAGGGUGACCGGCCACAUUGGGACUGAGAUGCGGCCGAGACUCCUACGGGAGGCAGCAGUGGGGAAUAUUGCACAAUGGGCGGAAGGCGAAUGCAGCAACGCCGCGUGCGGGAUGACGGCCUUCGGGUUGUAGACCGCAUGCGCCUGUGACGAAGCGUGAGUGACGGUAAUGGGUAAAGAAGCACCGGCUAACUACGUG